UACGGAGGGUGCGAGCGUUAAUCGGAAUUACUGGGCGUAAAGCGCGCGUAGGUGGUUAGAUUAGUUGGAUGUGAAAGCCCAGGGCUCAACCUUGGAACUGCAUUCAAUACUGUCUAACUAGAGUACGGAAGAGGGGAGUGGAAUUUCUCGUGUAGCAGUGAAAUGCGUAGAUAUGAGAAGGAACACCAGUGGCGAAGGCGACUCCCUGGUCUGAUACUGACACUGAGGUGCGAAAGCGUGGGUAGCAAACGGG
rnacentral:rRNA from 1 species